AUGAAGACCUGUAUGAACGGCUAUAUGAGUAUUUAACUGUCUCCUUUAACUAAUCAGUGAAACUGAUCUUUCAGUACAAAAGCUGGAAUANUUUACAUAAGACGAGAAGACCCCGUGGAGCUUUAAAUUUUUUAACAAAGCAUCAUUAAAAGACGCCUAUGAUAAAAAAUUUUUUAGUUGGGGCGACUUUGGAGAAAAACUUAACCUNCCAAGAAAAGGUACCACCUAACUCUAGGCUUACAAGCCAAACUCCAUAGACCCAGUAUUUAAUACUGAUUAACGAACCAAGUUACCCCAGGGAUAACAGCGCCAUCUUCUUCAAGAGUUCAUAUCGACAAGAGGGUUUACGACCUCGAUGUUGGAUCAGGACACCCAAAUGGUGUAGCCGCUAUUAAAGGUUCGUUUGUUCAACGAUUAACAGUCCUACGUGA
rnacentral:rRNA from 1 species